UGGUGGAGUGAUUUGUCUGGCUAAUCCCGUUAACGAACGAGACCUCAGCCUGCUAACUAGUCACGGUCUUGGUUUAUCCCAGGCCGGCGGACUUCUUAGAGGGACUAUUGGCGAUUAGCCAAUGGAAGUUUGAGGCAAUAACA
rnacentral:rRNA from 1 species